AGUGAACGCUGGCGGUGGGCCUAACACAUGCAAGUCGAACGGCCAAACGGUAAGCGCUUGCCUUUAAGGGUGGCGAGUGGCGGACGGGUGGGGCGUACAUAGGCAUCUUAUUUUUCGUGGGGGAUUUCGUGAGGCCACUUACGCUACUACCGCAUACAUCCUACCGCUGAAAGCAGGGGAUCUUCGGACUUUUGGUGUUUGAUUUAGACGAUGUCGGAUUAGCUAGUUGGCUGGGUAAAGGAACACCAAGGCAACGAUCCGUAGCUGGUCUGAGAGGAUGAUCAGCCACACUGGAACUGAGACACGGUCCAGACUCCUACGGGAGGCAGCAGUAGGGAAUAUUCGACAAUGGGCGCAAGCCUGAUCCAGCCAUACCGCGUGAGUGAAGAAGGCCUUCGGAUUGUAAAGCCCUGUUGUUGGGAAAGAAAAGCAGCGUGUGUAAACCCCGCUGUUCUGACGGUACCCAAACAGAAAGCACCGGCUAACUUCGUG
rnacentral:rRNA from 1 species